GCCCUAGUAACGGCGAGUGAAGCGGCAACAGCUCAAAUUUGAAAGCUAGCCUUCGGGUUCGCAUUGUAAUUUGUAGAGGAUGAUUUGGGGAAGCCGCCUGUCUAAGUUCCUUGGAACAGGACGUCAUAGAGGGUGAGAAUCCCGUAUGUGACAGGAAAUGGCACCCUAUGUAAAUCUCCUUCGACGAGUCGAGUUGUUUGGGAAUGCAGCUCUAAAUGGGAGGUAAAUUUCUUCUAAAGCUAAAUAUUGGCGAGAGACCGAUAGCGCACAAGUAGAGUGAUCGAAAGAUGAAAAGCACUUUGGAAAGAGAGUUAAAAAGCACGUGAAAUUGUUGAAAGGGAAGCGCUUGCAAUCAGACUUGUUUAAACUGUUCGGCCGGUCUUCUGACCGGUUUACUCAGUUUGGACAGGCCAGCAUCAGUUUCGGCGGCCGGAUAAAGGCUCUGGGAAUGUGGCCUCCACUUCGGUGGAGGUGUUAUAGCCCAGGGUGUAAUACGGCCAGCCGGGACUGAGGUCCGCGCUUCGGCUAGGAUGCUGGCGUAAUGGUUG
rnacentral:rRNA from 1 species